rnacentral:rRNA from 1 species
CCGGCUAACUACGUGCCAGCAGCCGCGGUAAUACGUAGGGUGCGAGCGUUGCCGGAAUUACUGGGCGUAAAGAGCUCGUAGGUGGUUUGUCGCGUCGUCUGUGAAAUUCCGGGCUUAACCUCGGGCGUGCAGGCGAUACGGGCAAUACUUGAGUGCUGUAGGGGAGACUGGAUUCCUGGUGUAGCGGUGGAAUGCGCAGAUAUCAGGAGGAACACCGAUGGCGAAGGCAGGCUCUGGGCAGUAACUGACGCUGAGGAGCGAAAGCAUGGGUAGCGAACAGGAUUAGAUACCUGGUAGUCCAUGCCGUAAACGGUGGGCGCUAGGUGUAGGGGUCUUCCACGACUUCUGUGCGUAGCUAACGCAUUAAGCGCCCCGCCUGGGGAGUACGGCCGCAAGGCUAAAACUCAAAGGAUUGACGGGGGCCCGCACAAGCGGCGGAGCAUGUGGAUUAAUUCGAUGCAACGCGAAGAACUUACCUGGGCUUGACAUACACCGGACCGGGCCAGAGAUGGUCUUUCCCUUGUGGCUGGUUACAGGUGGUGCAUGGUUGUCGUCAGCUCGUGUCGUGAGAUGUUGGGUUAAGUCCCGCAAGAGCGCAACCCUUGUCUUAUGUUGCCAGCACGUAGUGGUGGGGACUCAUGAGAGACUGCCGGGUCAACUCGGAGGAAGGUGGGGAUGACGUCAAAUCACCAUGCCCCUUAUGUCCAGGGCUCACACAUGCUACAAUGGUCGGUACAACGCGUUGCGACACUGUGAGGUGGAGCUAAUCGCGAAAGCCGGCCUCAGUUCGGAUUGGGGUCUGCAACUCGACCCCAUGAAGUCGGAGUCGCUGUAAUCGCAGAUCAGCAACGCUGCGGUGAAUACGUUCCCGGGCCUUGUACACACCGCCCU